UAUGACUCAAGCCAACACUUCCUGGUCACGUGAACAAUUGUGAUCACUCGACAGGGAGGUUUCGCAGGUGUGACAUUUUACUGUGUUGCGAUAAAAUAAAGAGCACUUGGUGUACGGUUGAGGAUGCUGCCAACUUUGGUAGCAACGGUGGUGACCGUGGCAUUUGCCAUCUACUUAAUUCGCCGCAAAUUGCAGCAGGGUGGAGCGAUCGAACAUGGGUUUGCUGAGGCAAGGGGGGAAAGGCGGCCACAGCCUGACUCAGGAUGUCACUCAGGUAACAACCAGACUGGCCGAGCUCGUAUGACGUGUCGUCGCCGUCGCCACCCUGAUGACACGGAUUGUGAAAGUCAAUAUGCAAACAUGCCUGACG